UCUAAUAGUAAUCAAGUCAGCGAAAUAGGCUUGGUUGCUAGAGGAACAAAAGAGAAACUGUCUUGAGAAAUUAAGUCUAACAUAAGGUUAUAAGUUUAAUAGUUUGGUUUGUGAAGAACUUGUCAUUAGGAUGAACCAAUAAUCCCAAGGCUUUUAUCUUUUCUUUUAUUAUUUACUUUUAAUUAAAAAAACCCAAAACUUUCUACAUUAUAAAUCUUUAGUCUAAUCAUUAUCUAAAGUUAAUUGAAUUCAUAACUCCCUGUCGGAACGAU
rnacentral:lncRNA from 1 species